rnacentral:rRNA from 1 species
AUUGAACGCUGGCGGCAGGCCUAACACAUGCAAGUCGGACGGUAGCACAGAGAGCUUGCUCUCGGGUGACGAGUGGCGGACGGGUGAGUAAUGUCUGGGGAUCUGCCCGAUAGAGGGGGAUAACCACUGGAAAAGGUGGCUAAUACCGCAUAACGUCGCAAGACCAAAGAGGGGGACCUUCGGGUCUCUCACUAUCGGAUGAACCCAGGUGGGAUUAGCUAGCAGGCGGGGUAACGGCCCACCUAGGCGACGAUCCCUAGCUGGUCUGAGAGGAUGACCAGCCACACUGGAACUGAGACACGGUCCAGACUCCUACGGGAGGCAGCAGUGGUGAAUAUUGCACAAUGGGCGCAAGCCUGAUGCAGCCAUGCCGCGUGUAUGAAGAAGGCCUUCGGGUUGUAAAGUACUUUCAGCGGGGAGGAAGGCGAUGUGGUUAAUAACCGCAUUGAUUGACGUUACCCGCAGAAGAAGCACCGGCUAACUCCGUGCCAGCAGCCGCGGUAA